rnacentral:rRNA from 1 species
UACGUAGGGUGCAAGCGUUGUCCGGAAUUAUUGGGCGUAAAGAGCUCGUAGGCGGUCUGUCGCGUCGGAUGUGAAAACCCAGGGCUCAACCCUGAGCCUGCAUUCGAUACGGGCAGACUAGAGUUCGGUAGGGGAGACUGGAAUUCCUGGUGUAGCGGUGAAAUGCGCAGAUAUCAGGAGGAACACCGGUGGCGAAGGCGGGUCUCUGGGCCGAAACUGACGCUGAGGAGCGAAAGCGUGGGGAGCAAACAGG